rnacentral:snRNA from 1 species
GGAUGUGAGGGCAAUCUGGCUACGACAUCUGUAACCCCACUGACCUCCAGAAUGGAUCUGGCUGACCUGGCUGGCCAGGCAGGUGUCCUCUCCCUCAUCGCUGCAUGUGCAUUCCUUCCAAAGCUGCACAAUGGUGGAAGAGGACAGCCUUGCCUAGAUAGCCACAGACUGUUCUUGGGUCGAGGGCAUACAAGCGGCUGCGCUCCCCUGCUCACACCUCCAAAUAAGCUACAAAAGGAGAUGUAAGCCUUGUGCAUAAAACACUGAGUUGCUUUAUUACUGUGAACUUUUUACACUGCAUGCCAAG